GGUAAAAGUGGUUUUCAUCCUCACACCAAUUUUAUGGACUGGACGUUAACUGUCUUGCUCAAGGUCACUCUGUGAGUGGAAGAGUGGGGACAAAUCUGGUUCGUUUGGCAUCAGAGGUCAUGACUUCUCCUACCACAGAAGUAAUUUUCAAAAUAAGUCUCUGCCCUAGACACAUCAGAUCAUCUGGGGACCACUCCAGAGUGAGUAGACGAGACUUUGACAGGGGUGCCUAAUUUUUUUUUUUUUUGAGAUGGAGUCUCGCUCUGUUG
rnacentral:sRNA from 1 species